rnacentral:rRNA from 1 species
UGGGGAAUUUUGGACAAUGGGGGAAACCCUGAUCCAGCCAUCCCGCGUGUGCGAUGAAGGCCUUCGGGUUGUAAAGCACUUUUGGCAGGAAAGAAACGUCGCGGGUUAAUACCCCGCGAAACUGACGGUACCUGCAGAAUAAGCACCGGCUAACUACGUGCCAGCAGCCGCGGUAAUACGUAGGGUGCAAGCGUUAAUCGGAAUUACUGGGCGUAAAGCGUGCGCAGGCGGUUCGGAAAGAAAGAUGUGAAAUCCCAGAGCUUAACUUUGGAACUGCAUUUUUAACUACCGGGCUAGAGUGUGUCAGAGGGAGGUGGAAUUCCGCGUGUAGCAGUGAAAUGCGUAGAUAUGCGGAGGAACACCGAUGGCGAAGGCAGCCUCCUGGGAUAACACUGACGCUCAUGCACGAAAGCGUGGGGAGCAAACAGGAUUAGAUACCCUGGUAGUCCACGCCCUAAACGAUGUCAACUAGCUGUUGGGGCCUUCGGGCCUUGGUAGCGCAGCUAACGCGUGAAGUUGACCGCCUGGGGAGUACGGUCGCAAGAUUAAAACUUAAAUGAAUUGAC